UACGUAGGGUGCAAGCGUUAAUCGGAAUUACUGGGCGUAAAGCGUGCGUAGGUGGUGAGUUAAGUCUGAUGUGAAAUCCCCGGGCUCAACCUGGGAAUGGCAUUGGAUACUGGCUUGCUGGAGUGCGGUAGAGGGUGGUGGAAUUCCCGGUGUAGCAGUGAAAUGCGUAGAGAUCGGGAGGAACAUCUGUGGCGAAGGCGGCCACCUGGACCAGCACUGACACUGAGGCACGAAAGCGUGGGGAGCAAACAGG
rnacentral:rRNA from 1 species